CUACGGGUUGCUCCAGUGAGGAAUAUUGCACAAUGGGGGGAACCCUGAUGCAGCAACGCCGCGUGGAGGAUGACGCAUUUCGGUGUGUAAACUCCUUUUAUAUGUCAAGAAAAUGACGGUAGCAUAUGAAUAAGCACCGGCUAACUCCGUGCCAGCAGCCGCGGUAAUACGGGAGGGUGCAAGCGUUACUCGGAAUCACUGGGCGUAAAGGACGCGUAGGCGGGUUGGAAAGUCAGGUGUGAAAUCCUACAGCUUAACUGUAGAACUGCACUUGAAACUUCUAAUCUAGAGUAUGGGAGGGGGAGAUGGAAUUAGUGGUGUAGGGGUAAAAUCCGUAGAUAUCACUAUGAAUACCUAAAGCGAAGGCGAUCUCCUGGAACAUUACUGACGCUAAGGCGUGAAAGCGUGGGGAGCAAACAGGAUUAGAUACCCCAGUAGUC
rnacentral:rRNA from 1 species